GAUGAACGCUGGCGGCGUGCCUAAUACAUGCAAGUCGAGCGAAGCGGGGACGGGUUAGUAACACGUGGAUAACCUCCUAUAAGACUGGGAUAAAUUCGGGAAACCGGAGCUAAACCGGAUACUUCUUGAUGGCUCUUCGCUGCAUUAGCUUGUUGGUAAGGUAACGGCUUACCAAGGCAACGAUGCAUAGCCGUCCUGAGAGGGUGAUCGACCACACUGGAACUGAGACACGGUCCAGACUCCUACGGGAGGCAGCAGUAGGGAAGCUUCCGCAAUGGGCUAAAGCCUGACGGAGCAACGCCGCGUGAGUGAUGAAGGUCUUCGGAUCGUAAAACUCUGUGAUUAGGGAAGCGGUACCUAAUCAUAAAGCCACGGCUAACUACGUGCCAGCAGCCGCGGUAAUAC
rnacentral:rRNA from 1 species